CGGAUUAAUACUCCAUAAUAUUAGGAAUUCGCAUGAUUUCCUAAUUAAAGCUCCGGCGGUUAGAGAUGAGCAUGCGUGUCAUUAGCUAGUUGGUAAGGUAACGGCUUACCAAGGCGACGAUGACUAGGGGGUCUGAGAGGAUGGUCCCCCACACUGGUACUGAGACACGGACCAGACUCCUACGGGAGGCAGCAGUGAGGAAUAUUGGGCAAUGGGCGCAAGCCUGACCCAGCCAUGCCGCGUGCAGGAUGACUGCCCUAUGGGUUGUAAACUGCUUUUAUACGGGAAGAAUGGUUCCUACGUGUAGGGAUUUGACGGUACCGUAAGAAUAAAGCAUCGGCUAACUCCGUGCCAGCAGCCGCGGUAAUACGGAGGAUGCAAGCGUUAUCCGGAUUCAUUGGGUUUAAAGGGUGCGCAGGCGGAAUAUUAAGUCAGUGGUGAAAUCCUGCAGCUUAACUGUAGAACUGCCAUUGAUACUGAUAUUCUUGAAUAUAGUCGAGGUGGGCGGAAUGUGUAAUGUAGCGGUGAAAUGCUUAGAUAUUACACAGAAC
rnacentral:rRNA from 1 species